rnacentral:rRNA from 1 species
AUGAACGCUAGCUACAGGCUUAACACAUGCAAGUCGAGGGGCAGCAUGACGAUAGCUUGCUAUUGUUGAUGGCGACCGGCGCACGGGUGAGUAACGCGUAUCCAACCUUCCCAUAGCUAGGGAAUAACCUUGCGAAAGUAAGACUAAUGCCCUAUAACAUUCUUUGCAGACAUCUAAAGAGAAUUAAAGAUUUAUCGGCUAUGGAUGGGGAUGCGUCUGAUUAGGUUGUUGGCGGGGUAACGGCCCACCAAGCCUACGAUCAGUAGGGGUUCUGAGAGGAAGGUCCCCCACAUUGGAACUGAGACACGGUCCAAACUCCUACGGGAGGCAGCAGUGAGGAAUAUUGGUCAAUGGACGGAAGUCUGAACCAGCCAAGUAGCGUGCAGGACGACGGCCCUAUGGGUUGUAAACUGCUUUUAUAUGGGAAUAAAGUGAGCGACGUGUCGUUUUUUGUAGGUACCAUAUGAAUAAGGACCGGCUAAUUCCGUGCCAGCAGCCGCGGUAAUACGGAAGGUCCAGGCGUUAUCCGGAUUUAUUGGGUUUAAAGGGAGCGUAGGCCGUUUUUUAAGCGUGUUGUGAAAUACUGUCGCUCAACGACAGAGGUGCAGCGCGAACUGGAGGACUUGAGUGCGCGGAAUGUAGGCGGAAUUCGUCGUGUAGCGGUGAAAUGCUUAGAUAUGACGAAGAACUCCGAUUGCGAAGGCAGCUUACAGUAGCGUAACUGACGCUGAAGCUCGAAAGUGCGGGUAUCGAACAGGAUUAGAUACCCUGGUAGUCCGCACGGUAAACGAUGGAUGCUCGCUGUGUGCCCUUGGGUACGCGGCCAAGCGAAAGCGUUAAGCAUCCCACCUGGGGAGUACGCCGGCAACGGUGAAACUCAAAGGAAUUGACGGGGGCCCGCACAAGCGGAGGAACAUGUGGUUUAAUUCGAUGAUACGCGAGGAACCUUACCCGGGCUUAAAUUGCAAAUGAAUAUAGUGGAAACAUUAUAGCCGCAAGGCAUUUGUGAAGGUGCUGCAUGGUUGUCGUCAGCUCGUGCCGUGAGGUGUCGGCUUAAGUGCCAUAACGAGCGCAACCCCUCUCCGUAGUUGCCAUCAGGUAAUGCUGGGCACUCUGCGGACACUGCCGCCGUAAGGUGUGAGGAAGGUGGGGAUGACGUCAAAUCAGCACGGCCCUUACGUCCGGGGCUACACACGUGUUACAAUGGGUCAUACAGAGUGUUGUGCGUAUGCAAAUACGUUCUAAUCAUUAAAAUGAUCCUCAGUUCGGAUUGGGGUCUGCAACCCGACCCCAUGAAGCUGGAUUCGCUAGUAAUCGCGCAUCAGCCAUGGCGCGGUGAAUACGUUCCCGGGCCUUGUACACACCGCCCGUCAAGCCAUGAAAGCCGGGGGCACCUAAAGUCCGUGACCGCGAGGGUCGGCCUAGGGUGAAACUGGUGAUUGGGGCU